CAAACACUUCCUUACCCUGUUUAGAGUCAAUGUUAUGUCUUUAAGUUGUGUUACAUUCUAAGUUUGGGGUAACCCCAUAAGUAUCUGAAAGUAAGGUGAGUGCGGAAAAAAAUUAAGAAAAACGACCAUCGAAGAAAAAAAGGAGAAAAUAAAAGAAUUUUUUUCGAUGGUACGAGAAAGCACUCACCAAAUGAGAAACACUCAGUUGAAAAAAAAGAGAGAAGAGAAAAUCAAAGGAAAAAAGAGAACUGAGCAAUACAAACUGAAAAAGAAAAGAAUUGAAAAUGAGAUGUAGAACCAGCACAAUGAAA
rnacentral:lncRNA from 1 species